GACGAACGCUGGCGGCGUGCUUAACACAUGCAAGUCGAACGGAAAGGCCCUGCUUUUGUGGGGUUCUCGAGUGGCGAACGGGUGUGUAACACGUGAGUAACCUGCCCUUGACUUUGUGAUAACUUCAGGAAACUGGGGCUAAUACCGGAUAUGAUCUCCUGCUGCAUGGUGUGGGUUGGAAAUUUUCGGCUGUUGGGGAUGGACUCGCUGCUUAUCGGCUUGUUUGUGGGGUAGUUGCUUACCAAGGCUUUGACGGGUAGCCUGCCUGGGAGGGUGACCGGCCACAAUGGGACUGAGAUAAGGACCAGAAUGCAACGGGAGGCAGCAGUGGGGAAUAUUACAGAAUGGGCGGAAGCCUGAUGGAGCAACGCCGCGUGCGGGAUGACGGGCUUCGGGUUGUAAACAGAUUUCGCAUGUGACGAAGAGUGAGUGACGGUAAUGGGUAAAGAAGCACCGGCUAACUACGUG
rnacentral:rRNA from 1 species